GGAUUGAGCAUUGUUAUUUGUGGUUAUAAUAAGAGAAUUGUAAAGCCAUGUCUCUUAAAGGAAAAAUUGAGAGUGAAAUAGUAAUAAACACACCUCCCCACAGAUUUUACAAACUAUUCAAAGAAGAAAUUUUCGACAUUCCAAAAGCUUGUCCAAAGUUAGUCCAAAAGAUUAAUAUUCAUGGUGGGGAUUGGAGCAAACACGGUCACGGUUCGAUCAAGACUUGGCAUUACACUUUAGGUACAUAUAUCAAUCGAUAUCUUGUUAACAUCAUCCCUGCCACAAUCCUUUUAAUAUAUGUUUACAUGAGUUGUUCCUUAAUUGGCUUUUUUGUUUUUUCUGUGUUGGUUAUGUGCUUUUGUAAGAUGACGACAAAGCUGAAGUUUUCAAGGAACGAGUGGAACUUGAUGACAAGAACCUAGUGAUAAAACUAAUUGGAUUGGAAGGAGACUUGUUUGAGCAUUAUAAAAGCUUCAAUGAAACAUAUAAAGUUGUGAAAAAGGGACCUGGUCAGUGUGCCAUAAUUCUUACCUUAGAGUAUGAGAAACUUCACGAUUGUUCUCCAUCCCCUCAAAAGUACUAUGAUGCUAUGAUUAACCUUGUCAAGAGCAUUGAAUCACAUCUUAAAAAAUAAUGUUUCUUCUGCGCCCAUGAGCGACCCUUUAUGAUAUAUGAAUAAGUAAUGUCAUCGUAGAGGUGAUUGAGGAUUUUGUGAAAGUAAAUAAAUGGUUAUAUCCUCAUGUUAAAUGGAUGAAAUAAUAUAUUGUACUACUGAAGAAAUAUAUAUAACUUCCGUUAUGUUUGAAAAUAAUAAUUGAUAGUUUUUUAUUAUUAAUAUUAUAUUCUUUGCUCCCUCUCAAAUUUGACAGAGCUUAUUUUCACAAACAUUUAUUUUUCACAUUAAAUGUGUCGAGGAAACUACGAAUGAAAAAUAUGGUACAUUCCACCUCUAACGUAAAUGAUAUAAUUUUUAGUUUAAAAAAUGUAUGUAAUAAAAAACUUGACUAUUUACAUGACCAAUCUAAUAAAAAUAAAAUACACUCAUUGAGUUGACGUAUAUUUAAUUUUUGAGAUUUUAAAAUAUAUGAUUUAGUCUCUUAAAUUUGAAAAAUAAUUUUAAAAUUGACUAAAUUUUAAACCAACAGAAUAUUUACUACAUUAAUUAUAUUAGAGAACACAGUUAAGUUUUUUAUAUUAUUUUAAAAAGUCAUUUAAAAGAUGAAAUGAAAAAUUAUUUGACAAAGUUAAUAACAACAAUAAAAAAAAAUGGCCCUCAUACUUCAUCCUCUCAUCAGUCAUCUCCCAAGCUUUCUCCGGCCACUUAAAUGACCUCGACCUCGCUGCCUUUUCCAUGGCCGUUAUCGUUGUCUUAGACAUGGUUCCCCUGAUAUACCUAAAGCCCUAACUCUGUUUUCUCUAAUUUAAUUGUGGAGAUGCUAUGCAGGAAAGCGUACGGGUCAAAGAAAUAUUGUUCAUGUUGGGAGUUUAUUUGCAGCGCUCAUGGACCUUCUCUUUCUAUGCUGUCCUUCUUUUGUUGCAUAUUUUCUUCAUUGCGUCUCCAUAUUGCUGAUACCUCAAAGGUAUAACAGCCAGCUUCCUCUGCCAAUUUAAUAUUUUCAACAUGGAUACUUCCUUCUCACUUUAGCUUUGCGUUUUACUUUUCAUUGCAAUUUUUUUCAAGAGCCAAGUGAAGGUCUGGGCGAUUUUGUGGUCGGCGUCGGCGGGUAGUUGGGUGCUUGUAGGUUGAACUUAAAAUGGGUGUGGUGGAAAUUGCAGCGGCUUGCAAUAUUUAUUGCAAACCUUGGGGACAAUUAGUUUCUUUAAUCUCUCUAUCUAAAAGGCAAUCUGUUUGCUUUUAGGUUUCUAACUUGUUAACCAUUUUCUGUUUGUUAACAGAACACAUGGAAAUAUUAUUUUGGGAGAUCAUUUCUUUAGGACAACUUUUUUAAUUUCUUUGCUUGGCAAGCUAAAACUUCAUUUAUUUGAUCUUUUCAUCUUUCCUUUGAGUGAUUCGUUUGGUCUACAAUUCCUGAAUUAAAUUAGGUUUAUUUAUGUAUGUAUAGAUGGUUAUGAAGUUCUAGCUUUUUUGGUUACUGUCACGCCCCCGCUCGAAACGUGCCCUCUACGUACCGAGUAUAGACAUGACUUGAGCAAACCGACGUUUCGAGGUGCACCAGAAUGCUUAGGUACUUCUUUAAACAUAAGUUAAGCUUUAGGCGUGAUCAUGCUGACAAACGAUUGUACUAAGGAGUAGGACAACAUGCAAUAUAUAUAAAAAUUAGCAAUCCUUUUAUUAACAAUCGUGUUACAACACAAGCGUACAACUUACAACAUAAAAGACUAAAAAACUCAAGCUAACUAGUACUAUGCAACACAACAAGUACUUAGCAGUGACCUCCUCUUGUUUUGCCUGAUGACACUUUUUCGUUUAACUUGAAAAGGGAAAACUUAAAAUGUAAGCUAAUAGCUUAGUGAGUGACAAAAAUUUACAAAUACAUUUUGGGAAAUACAAUUAAACACAAUAAGACCUUUCUCAUUUUUAGAAACAUCUUACUGCCUCACUAUGCUUUUAUUGGCACAAAUAACCACAUUUGCCUCUACCUAUUUUCUUAUCGUCGUCUGGAUAUUAAACUCCCUCAAUGUAAGGAUUGUUGUGAUGAUUACUUCACCACUAGCAUUUCUACAUACACUCCUUCAAUACUAGUUGCUUCCAUGAUCUGCUUGAACACAGACCACUCAACGCGUUCAACUAUCCUUCUACCAAGCAGACAACUGAAUGUAUGACAACCUCUACUCUAUUGUGCAUACAAUAUAUAGCUAGCUUUUGAUCUAAAAUAAGGCUAAUAGUUUUGUAUACAUACAAGCAUCACAACAAUACAAUUUCACAUAUAGACAGACUUGAAAAUUAGUCAUGGUUUUUUAAUGUAUAAAUGAGAUUACAACAUGAGCAUAUUUAACAUGGCAAUAUAACAUGAUUUUGGUGGUAAAAACAUUUUUCAAAAGCUUUCUUUUCUUUUGGAGGGUCGCUCACGUAGUUAAGCUUUUCUUUCUCCCUUACUCUCCUUCUUAUCACCUAACUCUUCUUCCCACUUUUUGCCUGCUCCUAUAAUGAAACUUCACCUUUUCCUCCGUAGAAUUUUCUCUUAUCUAAACACUUGAAUUAAUCCUUCCUCAAAGCUAUUUAUACUAUUCUCAAAUCAAAUUAGUCAGCAUUACACUUCUCCUAAAUUCAACAGUUCCUACUUAGUGCAUUACACGUACGUGUUAGUUUAGUAUCCUUCUUAAACCACAGUCUUAAUUUAACUUAACCUGUGUUUAGCUGACUAAUAAUGCUCCUUCUCACCUAGCUUGUCACUUGAAAAAUUGAUUUAUGUUCGUUGUCUCCUUCCCUUCUUGCAAUACUUUGUUGUACCGUGUUGCCUUUCUUCACAAUGUCUUAUCUGAUCUUUUUACCCUCUGCUCCUUCCUCACAUUAUCUCAAAACAUACUUAAGCUCAAAUAUGCUACUUCAAAAAUUAAUUUAGAAGAACCUCUCUUUUAGGACGCAAGUUUCAUAAUUCUUCCCUCUUUAGUAAUUUCGUCCUCCAAAUUCUACCUUUUUUCCUUUAGUUAAACUUGGCACCCUAACGGCGAUUGUUGCACUGAGUGGGACACGACUCCUUGUUGGGUAGUACCUUGUUUAGGUUUUCAUUGGGAUUCCUUUCCAUAGUGCCCUUCUUCUCUAAAAUUGAAACAGAUAAUUGUACUUCUUCAUAACCUACCUACAUGCUUUCGACCACACUCAAUGCAUUGAGGUUUGUGAGUUCCACUUUAGAAUGAUUAUGUGUAGCUUAUUUUCAUUCUUUUGUUUUCUCUAACUUCUUUCUUUCUUACUCUUCUCUUUUCCUUCUUCAUCAACUCCUCCACUUCCUUCAAAAGCUUGCUUUAUGAAUUGAAAUUGAUUGUUUCUUUCUUACUGCUAUCUUAAACUGAUAAAAGGUGUUCUUGAUAGCUUGAUCUUGGUGAAAUGAAUCCUAAAUCUAGGCAAUGUUGUAUCUCGAGAAGCUCGUAAAAGUGAGUCCCAGGUUUGAGAAAAUAAUGAUUUUGCAAGACGUUGGUGAAGUGAACCUAGGUCUAGCCGAUUAGAACUUCAAAGUCCUGCGUUUGAAUAUCAACCAAAAUUAAUCUAUGAGUUUUCAACCUGAAAUUCAAACAGCCACGUGUCUCCCAUCCAAGUUCUUUGCAUCUUCUAGGUCACAAGUCCAAAUUAUCCUACACGCCCUUUUCUUUACUUUUACGUGAAAAAUCCCAAACUAAACAUUUAUUUUCUUCAUAUUCUUCACCAUAUUUCCCAAUUUUCUUCCAUUUUUUGACCAGAAGUUACAUCUCAACCGCCCUAAAAUAUUAUAGAUUACCAAAAAACCACGAAAAAAACCCUCUCCAAAACCCAUUCCAAACCCAUUUUUUCUCCCAAAAAAUUUUAUCCAUUUUCUUGAUUCUCAUGGAAGGGUAAGUGUUUUAUGAGGUAAAGAGUAAUUGGGUUGAGUUUUCUUUUAUGGGGGCCUCUACUUUUUUGCAAGAUUGUAAAUUUUUUCUUUAUUUAUUCAAGAACUCUACUUUACUUUCUUAUAAAAUUGUUGUAAUUUAUAUUCUUGUGAACUAAUCAUUCCGAAAGUUCAAGCAAUAAUUUGCCACGCAUGAAAUGUACUAAUUUAGAGAAAUAAAGUUGACAAUUGUUUGUUUUUUUUAUAAUUCUUGAUUCUUUGAUAAAUUUUGUUCAUAGUUUGAGUUGAGAUGGCUAGAUUUACUUUAAAUUUUGUUCAGUGUAAUAAAAUAUAUCCUUUCUCUUGGACGAAUUUAAUUUUCUUGAACCCAAUUUGUCAUUUUAUUCAAGGUAUGCAAUGUGCCAUUUUUUUUGGAAAUUUAAAGGAAACCUCGUUGAAUGGUGAAUUAUUUUCUAUCAUUUUUUUCUAGCGUUUGUGUCUGGCAAUCUUUUGAUUUGGUAAUUCUUGGAAUAAAUAUUCAUGCUAUGCACUUGUUUGUUGAACAAAUGAUGGGUAAAUAAAGCAAUUUCUUUUAUAUGCAUAUUUGUUUUUAUUCUUGUUAGGUAAAAGGUGUGAAUCUUGAACAAAUUAAUUUUGGUGUUCAAGAAAUUUGAUCCCAAAGUUAAUUUGACCAAUAAUCUUUUAAACCUUUCAAUUUUUACUUUCCAUUUUUGGAUCCCCAAGGAUAGAAAACCCUCGUAUACUCAAUUACUCUGGCCUCACAUUUAUUAGUUGAGUAUUUUUUUCACAUAUUUUACUAUCUUGAGUUGGAACAACCUAGAAUUUACUUUGUUACUUGUCACAACAUGAUUCUUUAAAUUUCUUGCUUAAUCUUUUCAUGCUUUCUUAGUUUAUCUAACACUCUUUUCUAGUUUCAAUUCAAGUUAGAAUUAUUUCCACUCCCUUGGUUCGACACUCUCACUUGCCACCACACUAUGGUAAUAAGUGGGUUUUUAUAAAUAAUCUUUUGUCAAGGUGAAUUGGUACGUCUCUAUCCUUUUCCUAAUCAACUAGUGUUCCAUUUUCCAUAUAAUUAGCAUAUAUUGUUACAUGAUUACCAUUUAAAUGGGCUUGCCAAUUACAUAUUACAUACAACAUUCAAGCCUUGCCAGCGAGUAAAUGCCGGUGAAAGUGAAUCCUAGUCUGAGCAAGGGAUAAAAAUGUGUUCUUGAUAGCUAGAUGCUGGGGGAAGGUGAAUUUCAUGUAUAGGCAAUGAGAUGCUGAUAAAAGUGAAUCUCAGAUUUGAGAAAACAAUGAUUUUGCUAGACGCUGGCGAAAUCCCAAGUCUAGGCGAUUAGAUGUUGUGAAGUGCAUCCCAGGUCUAGGAGAUUAGAUGUUGUGAAUGGGAGAAUCCCAAAUUUUGGCAAUGAAUAAUGAACAUCCUGAUGAAUGAAACACGUGGAAUUUCUUUGAUUGUUGUGUUUAUGAUUUAAUGCUAUGAGAAUUUAUGUUCUUAAGAUUAAGAUUGUUGUUAAUGAAAAUGUUGUAUUCCCCCUAAUAAGGUAUUUCUUAAACCCAUCACACACUAAGUCUUUAACUAACCUUUUAGUUUUCUCCUCCCCAAGUUGUCAGGCGUUGAAGAUAAGUAAAGAAUGAAUGUCAGGUGUAGAAGCCAAGUAAAGAAGGGAAAUGUCCGUUAUCAUGUAAACCCAUUUCACAUUUGAGGAGUUGGCAGGCAAUUCUUAUACUCCUAAAUGUUGAGGGCUACAACUCAAUUUUGAGGAGAAGUUGAAUGCUUCAGCACAAUUUUGAAGAGAUGCCAAGGGCAGCAUCACAAUUUUGUCUUGCCGAAGAAGACGAGUGGAAGAAAUGAGCCAAGAAUGAAGAGCCUAAAGUUAUCAAUUUAGUCUUGUCAUAAUUGUAGAAGUGUGAAAUUCAGUUGUACUUAGUGUAAUGAGUUAAGUGAAUAAAGCGAAAAAGUUAAGCAUAUUCAGCUACAUCAUUGUUAUUAUUUGCCAUAUCCUGUAAAAGUUAAAAGUUAUUUUCAAUCAAGUAAUGAGGGCUAGGUGAUGGAGCUAACUCUAAAAUUUGUUUUAAGCUAUUAUAAGCUAUAAGGGUCUAAGUCUAAAGUAGAAGCUUUGCGAAGAGAUAAGUUCAAGAAGUUGCUCUGCUUACUAGGCAUUUAGCGUGUUAUCUCGCGAUGGGUACCUAGGCGGCACAUCCCAAUCUAGUCGCAUGGAAUGGAAUUUGGGAUGGUGUAUGACAUGAUCGUUUGAAGGUAGAAAACUAAACGAUCACGUAAGAGGGUAAACGAUCGUAUAGAAAGCUAAACAAUCGUGUAACAGGUUGCAGAGUAAACGAUUGUGAUAACAUUUCCUUCAGAACCAAACAUAGUUAUGAAUGUCAAGUAGUUACAACAGUUUUAAACUUUACAAACAUUAGGAAUGAAAAAAUAAAACAAUACAACCCGAUAACCCAACCCAACCCAACCCAUAUUUUAUGGGUUGGAUUGGAAAAUUAAUUCGGGUUAUUUGGGUUGCCAAAUCAACCAACCUGAAAAUAUGGAUUGGGUUGAGAAUAUCUCCCAACCCAACCCUACUCGUUUACAUCCAUAAUUCUAGUGUCAUGUAUGCCUUUUUUUUUUCAAAUUAAAUAUCCUAAUUGUUAAAGAUUAUGAGAUUGACGAUCUUUGUUUUUACAUCUUUAAAUGUUACUAGAGAUGUCGUUGCAUUGGUGGUUUUUGGAAGAAAAAUGUUGAAUGGAAAUGUUGUUCUGCAAAAUACCCUUCUUAUCGUUUCUUUCUUUUGUUCCCUUAUUUGCCAAUAUCUUUUGCUUACUUUGUAUGUAGCUGCAGUGGAAGAUAGGGUUUCUUUUUAGUGUUUCUAUUGGACAUACUUAAAGGACACUUAGUCUUUCGGCUAGGACUAGUCGUUAUGUUAUUUCUUGAGCAAUAUUUUUCUGUAGAAGUGUGUUGGUAUCGAUCUUGGUUGUAAGAAGAAGAGAGUUGAAUCACUUAUUUCAACUUACUUACUACACGUGUAUAUUGUGAUUCAUUUAUGAAGGGAUUCUCAAAACUAAAACGAGCUUGUGCUAUUCAAGAAAAGAUGUCUUUGUUCUUAGAAUGAAUGGUAUACAAUAAAAGUGAGAAGGAAUCUCAUGACUCAAGGGAAGCUAUCAAGGCUUGUCGAGAGCCAGGUUUAUGUCUUAGAAGGAACCUAAAACUCUCUUCACUAAUAAUACAACUUAUGCAAGCCUACGAUAUAAGAGAAGUCUCAAACCUAGGGGAGUCUGGGUGUGCAGUAGAAUGAUAAAACUAUUCAGAAGUCAUAUAUUUGCGUUAUCAUUAAAGAUAAGUACUACGAUGUAAUUGGUUAUCAUUGUUAUUAGUGAAUGUAAUGUAUCUUUCUUAGGUACACUACCCGCUAGAUGUAUAAAACUAGGUUACCAAUCUUGUGUUCAUUUGUCACUGUACUAUUUGUUUGUAACUAUUGUGUGAAAUGUUGUAACAUUAUCGUGGGUAACAUAGUUUAUUUCAUGUUGUAGACAAGUACUUUCUUAAUUUCACUGUAAUUAUGGUUACUUUGCAACCACUAUAAUAUUUUAUAGCUUGUUUACAUGGACUAUUUUCAUAAAUUACAUGCUUAUUAGUUCUGUAUAUAUAGUUAUUUGCUGAAAAUAUUAUAUAAAUAUUUGGGAUUUUUUUAAAAAUAGAACAAAUGGGCAAAAUAUUUACAGUGUAGAGAACAAUUUCGAAAAAGAAAAAAAGCUCAUAGGCCCACAAUUGAAAAUACCAAAAAUGCCCCGAUCAAUACGCCAUUAGCCGGUCACACGUGUGUGUAGUUCUUCUAAAUGAUCGUGAACCAAGAUCGUUUAGAUAUUGUUACAUGAUCGAGUACGAAGAUCUAAAUGGUCAUGUGCAAAAUCUAAACGAUUUUUGUUCAAGAUCGUGUGUCAAGAUCUAAACAAUCAUGUACAAAGUUCUAGACAAUCAUGUACCAAGAUCUAAAAGAUUUUUGUUGAAGAUUGUGUACCAAGAUCUUUUAUAUUUGGUACAUGAUCUUGUACCAACAUCGUAUAGAUUUUGUACACGAUUAUGUAUAAAGAGCUAGACGAUCGUAUACAGAGAUUUAAAGCUUUGGUAUAUGAUCCUUUAGAUCUGAAAGAGGAAAUAUAUGAGAGAUGACAAAAAUUGUUCACCAAAUGGAGAUUUGAAGCAGUGAAAAAGAAAGACAUAAAGGAAAGAAUAAUAAUAAUCGUGGAACAAUGACAAUGGUUUUGAAAAAAAUAUAAAAAAAAAAUCCAAAAAAAAAAGGAGAUGGAAGAUAAUGAAAAGGAAAAAGGAAGAAAUGAAAGUCUAAGUAUUUAAAACAAUCAAAUCGACUAGAACAAACCUGUAUUAUUUUUAAAGAAAGGGUCGACUUCAUGAACUUUUGUAUUAUUUUUAAGGAAAGGGUCGACUUCAUGAACUUUUAGAUUAUUAGAUUAUUGGUGUUUGGUUAUGUUUAUAAAAAGUAACCUUAUAAAAAAAGAAAGAGAGAAUUCAAGAGUAAAAUAUUAUUGAUUAUUCAAUAUGUUUCCAAUUGAAGUUGUUCUUCCUUAUCAAUUUUGGGAUAGUUGUACAUUAAUUAAUAGUUAAAUCAUCACAUCAUGCUAAAAAUAGGCUCAUCCCGUCAACAUUCAAAUUGUUUCAAAGAAUAUAUUCACAGCGAAUAAAUAACUAGUUUUUUUAAAGAUAUACUUUUCUCCCCUUGAGUUUAGAUUCCAAAUUAAUUUGGAUUAGGUUGAGUUUAAUAUCCAUUUGGAUUAACUGUUUUUUACUUUAAAAUUUAUGCAUGAUUCAGUUGAUCUUCUUAAUAGUUUGUAUGUUUUUGUGUACAAGUUGUCGCCACAUGCCCGAGACGACGCGGAGCGGUCGACAUCUUUAAAAGUGUUAGUUUUAAAAUGAAAUAAGAGUCGCCACCAAUCUUUUUUUACGGUGCGAUUGAAUACUGAAAUACAAUAAACAACUUUUAAAAAAUGGUCUGCGAAAAAUAGAAUUGAGUUCGGGAGUCAUUUGUGUGUGGGGAAGGUAUUAGCACCCCACAACACCCAUUUAGGAAAACGAUGACCAAAUUUAAAAUCUUGAAUUGAAAAUAUUUUUAAAUUUAUUUUAAAACUAUUGUUUUAUUUCAUCCCUCGUUACUCCAAUAUUUGAAGCAAUGAUCUCAUAAAAUAAGUGGAAUUAUAUUUCAUUAAUUAGACUAUAUAUUGAAUGAGAGUUUCUCACCUUAAGAAAAUGAGAAAUUAUUACAAUUUCUCAAAAUCUAUCGUAGGCUAGUCUUUGAAUAAAGAUUUUUUUUUUAAAACAUUGAUUAAAUUCAUUUUUUAUUGGGAUCGAAUCUCGGACUUCCAAAGAUGUGAUCCCUCACCUUAAAAAUUCUAGGAAAUCAGACUCCCAAAUUUCCUAGAUUCCAUCAUAGGAGUAUUUUUAGCGAAAUAGAAGUUAGUUAUUAAAAAAGUUGAUUAAGGAAAACAUAUGAAAUAUAGAUUUAUAUUUUUAAAAAAAUUAAAAGGAAUAGUUGUAAAUUAAAAAUUUCUCAACAGUUAAAAAAGGAAAUUUAAUAAAGAUCUUCAAAAUUAGGUCAAUAGAAAAUAAUGCACAAUAGAAUCAAAUAUAAUAUACCCUAAAUUAAGAUAAAAUUUUAUUUUUUAAAAAAAGUAUUGGAAAUCGAAUCUUGGAUUCCCAAAGAACCGAUUCCCUCAUCUCAAGAAUUUAGAAAUAACGGACUUCGAUAUUUCUAAUUCCAUCGUCGGAUUUGUUUUUAGAAUGAAAAAAUGUAAAAAAAAAAAUAUGAUGUAAGGAGAAAAAAAAUUAAAUAAUUGAUAUGAAAUACCAUGAUAAUAUUGCAAAGUGUAAAAAAUAUUCAUAAAUUUAAUAUUACAUGAUAAUAAUUAUUAUGCAUGCAAGAAAAGCAAGUUAAAAAAAAUAAAUAUACAAGGAAAAUACAACUGGUAGACAACUACAACAAAUAAAUAUAUAAAUAAUAAUAAAAAAGAUAAAAGGAAAAAAAAGGACGUUUUUUUUUUAAACCUUGCCGCCACCAUAUAUAUAAUAAUAAUAAUGAUGACGAUAAUAAUAAUAAUAAAAAAAUAUAUAAAAGUAUUAACCGUAAAAGAAAAGAAAAAAAAUAGAUUUUCAAAUCCCAAAUAAAAUUUACUCGUCGAUGAGGUGCGGAUCGGAGUAAAUCCCUACCACAUGAACCUCCAACAAAGUGUAUUUUAAAAUGGAAUUUGAUUUACUAACGAGAAAAAAAAAAAAAAAAGUAAAACACUAACGUAAUGAAAAGAAUAAGAAAACUUACCUUUUUAAGAGAUUCUUUCUAAAAGAUUUUCUAACGUUUUCUAGACUUUUUGUAAGAAAAUUUUCACCAAAGAAUUCUUUGUUAAAAAAACUAUUCCUCCCCUUUUUCAAAUGACAAGGGUCCCUAUUACAAAGGUGUUGCCUUGAUCUUGAAGGUAGCCAAUAGAAAAUAACCUUCCAUUUCUCUAGGGAUCUUAGGCAGUGCUUUAUUUCCAAUUGGGAUGUUCCAAAUUUUGCAAGCAUGGAAAAAUCAACUCAUCAUAUGGAAAUGCGCUACUAAAGAUGACGGAAACAAAUGCUUCAUUAUCAUUUUUUACUUUAUUUUUCUUUACUUUUCAUCUUCAUAGUUCACUUGUUUAAAUGAUGGUAUUGACACAUGGCUGAUAAUGCUCUGCCCCGAGCUGAUCUUAUGCACUUCAUCUUUUCUUUUAGUGGGAUCGUACUUUAAUGAUGUUAACUUCUACUUCUGUAUCAUUCGUAAUCUCUUUCCUUCAAACAUCAUUAUCAUAAUAUGAGAGGCAUUUUAUCACAGUAUGGAACAGUCAAAACACUGGUGACAUUUCCUUACUCACUCAGAAGUGGUUGCCUCCGAUCAAUAUUUUUUUUUUUUACAUCCUUAAGGAUAUUUCUUAAAAGUGGUUAAUGCUUCAUUUUAUACACGGAAGAUUUAAAUGGUACGAGACCAAACUAAUAAUGUCCUUAUAAUUUUUCAAUACUUGCACACUUGAGAGAUAUCCAACUACAUAUACCAAAGAGCAGUUGAGCUCAAUUAGGCUAUCGUCUUAUUAACAAACAACUAAAAAAGGUGGGAUCAGGAGGCGCACCAGAACAUCUCAACUAGGUUGACACCUUCGUCAUACCACAUACUUAAUAAAAAAAUAUGCUCCUUAUCAUGAGAUCAAAUAGUGACAAAACGUUCUUGGAACUGGUGAAAAGAAAUUGUCAUUGUGGAAGUGGAUUGACAUCCUUCAAUCGUAUAUAAUGAAAUGACUUUCAUUAAACUUUCCAAAUUUUAGCCUCUUGAACUUGGGUGUUGUAAUGAUGAUGUCUAAGACUAGACACAAUUGUGUCGCCUUAAUUUCUUCAUAAAUGUUGUUCUUUAUUACACUUAAUCUCUCUUCUAGAAACUUUGAUAUAAACUUCUUUUGAGAUUUGUCUUCAAAGGUCUUCAUGUCAGUUUUCUCAUUCACCGUAGAAUCUAAGUCAUUCAAAUGGCACAUUUUUUGUGGAGCUCGACCACACUCUUUGUGUCAAGUAUGCCCUCAAGUUUAACCAAUGAUGAAUCUAAUAGUUUUUUUAGCAGUAAGAGCAUGUGGGUAUAAGGAGAAACAUCGUUUGAAGGUUGGUUCUAUACCAAUUUCACUUAUUUGAAUGCCCCUGCUAGUGGUCUAUCCUUAAUUUAAGCGAGAGACUUUAAAACCACUACCACUUGUCCUUUUAACACUUUGACACAUCUUUCCUGGUUACUUACACUUGGUUGGAAAACUUUUCCAUGACCUCGACCAAUAAUGAAUGAUGGGUGAAAAUCUUUUCCACUAUUUGUAAAAUCUUUGACUCUUUUGAUCUUUCUAAAGAGAGAGAAUGGUUAAAUUAUUUGAAGUUAUUUAUUAGAGUGAGGUUUAUGCAUAUGAAAUUUCAUCAACAAUGCAACAAUUAUCAUUCUAAAGUGAAUAAAAAUGACUACUAAUAUUUUCAAGAAGAAAUAGCUAAAUGCAAUGACAAAGGAGAUUUUAAAAUAAAAUACUAGCCAACAACUUAAACAUACAUACAAGUAUGUGUUGAUAAACAUAUGAUUAUAAUGCAUGAUAAAGAAAUUACUCUUAGUGUUUGAUCAUGCAAGUAAAAAGAAUAAUGAUGAGAUAAUAGCAUAAUAUAACACUAUCCAUGAUAUAUAUAUAUAUUGCUUAAAAGAAAAUUUUCUUUUUGACAGUUAUUCACACUAUUUAAGCUUAUAUUUAAAAAAAUCAUUAACGUUAAAGUAUUAUUAGUUAUUUAUUAAAUGAGACAACAAAAAUACCUUAGUAAAAAUGUGAUUUCUAAUGAAGACAUCAAAAUUUACUUAAUGCAGAUCAAAUGGAUAAAAAUAUGGUUAUAUGAGAUGAAAAAGUUAAUAGAUAAAACUCAACUCAAAAGUUUUAUGAAACCCAAAAGUUUUAUUAAUCAAUUAUUUUAAGCAUAUAGUGAUUUAAGGGCUUCUCUUUCAAUUAAUUAGUCAAAUUUGUUUCAUGGCUAUCAAGUAAAAUGUCCAAAUUUAUUUUAAGAAAAUUGAAAAAUUAAAUUUUUUUAUUAUUUUAUUGGAUUAUUUUUUUCUUUGAAAAUAUUUGCCCAUUUUUAAAAUAACUUUUAAAAUAUUCACACAUCAAUAAAUAUGCAUGUUAUUUCACAAAAAUAAAAUGAAGAAACAAAAAUGAAAGUUACACAAUAGGCUUUCCUUUUCUUUUCUUUUUUUUUUUCUUACAAAUUCUUCUUAUAUGAUCAUAUUUUUUAGUAUUUCAAAAAAUCGUUUUUAGUAUUUCAAAUGAUCAUCCUCAAAAAUUUAGUUUUUAAUGCUAAUGUUAUUUAAUUGUGGCAUGAUUUUUUUAUUUAGAUUUAAAUAGUUAAUAUAUUAAAAAAAUUAUUAAAUGAUACUAAAUUACUUAAUAUAUAUUCUUUUUAGGGAAAUUUUUUUGGAUAAAUAUGUAUUUCAAAAACUUUUUUUUAAAAAAAAAAAAAAAGUGUUCAACCUUUGAAAUAUAUGAAGAAAAGUUGUUGAAAUCUCUUUAAAAUAUUUUUUUUUGAAAUAUGAAAAAAAAAACUAUAUAAAACUUCAACAAAUUAUUGAUAUGUCAAUUGAUUAAGAAAAAUCGAAAUUGGCAAAUGAAAUAUUGUUAAACUAAAAAAAUUUAUUCAAUUGUGAUAAUUGAACAAACAUAAGUAAAAAAAAUCAAUCAAUGAAAUUAAAAGGAUAUACAUGUGUAAAUGCAUGUGUAAAUGCAUGUUGUAAAAUUGACGUUAAUUCUAAAAUUCCUAAAUGAUAAACGUUCCUAAUUUGGUCAAAGUCAUACAUGACGAAUUGACCAAGUUGAGUGAGAAUUUUUUGUGUGCCUGCACGGAAGCAUGAGCUUCUCGAAGGUCAACACUACUCCGUUCACAAUUCUAAUCUUAUGAAGGUAAAGCCUGGGUAGGAGGCUCGUGAUUGUGUGUGUAAUAGUUAAAUGCACAAUAACUACACACAAUAAAUUAGAAUAAAAUUAAAGAAUAAAAUAAUUAAGAUAAAAGAAAAAAUGGCCAAACUCUCGAGGUAAAGCCUCAUGUCCCUAGUGGAGUCGCCAUGCUGUGAGGAUCAAAGCUCCACCGAUAAUGCCAAGAACUUAAACAAUAAGUUAAUGAAAGAUUUAUUUAAUCAGUUUAAAAUUAAGCACUCUAAUUCUACCCCGUACUGCCCUAAGAUGAAUGGAGCAGUAGAGGCGGCAAAUAAAAAUAUCAAAAAAAUCAUUGAAAAGAUGACUGUCACAUAUAAAGAUUGGCAUGAGAUGUUACCAUUUGCAUUACACUGUUACCGAACGUCAGUUCGCACAUCAAUUGGGGCAACUCCUUUUUCUUUGGUGUAUGGCAUGGAAGCUGUUUUGCCUAUUGAGGUCGAGGUGCUAUCCCUCAGGGUAAUUAAAGAAGCGAAACUAGAAGAAGCUGAAUGGACACGAGCAAGGUACGAAGAAUUAAACUUCAUAGAAGAGAAAAGGUUGACUACGUUGUGUAGAGGACAACUUUAUCAGAAGAAAUAAAUGACUCGUGCAUACGAUAGAAAAGUUCGACAACGUUGUUUUCAAGAAGGGGACUUGGUCUUAAAAAGGAUCCUACCAUUUUAAAAAGAUCAUAGAGGAAAGUGGACCCCUAAUUAUGAGGGACCAUACGUAGUAAAAAAGGCAUUCUCUGGUGGAGCUUUGAUCCUCACACAAGUUCUUAGUCAAAUUAAGAAAAAUGAGAACAAGUUUUUAUGAACAAUCAUUUUAGUUUUAAAAAAUUGACCUUGUUUUCAAAGACAGGAUAAAAGGUAGAUAAAAGAAUAAUCAAAUUUAGAGAUAAAAGAGUUGUUUGUGGACUAGCAAAUGUGGAGAGUUUUCAAAUCCACUACUACAAAAACAGGCUCUCUUGACGUUUGCAGUUUUCCUUUCUUGAUGUGUUUUUUGAAAAACGUCAAGAAAGAUUUCAUUUUUAAUAAAAAACGUCAAUAAAUUUUCUGAAACAACUUUCUUGACGUUUUUAAAACAUCAAGAAAUAUCUAUUAAUUUUUUGACGUUCUUAAAACGUCAAGAAGCGUAUGAAUUCAACAUGUUUGACAUUUAUUAAACGUCAAGAAUUUAAAGUUUUAAAAACGUCAAGAAAUUUAUAAAAAAAUUAAUGAUGUUUUUUAAAUGUCAAGAUAAUUUCUAUAAAAAUCCUUGACGUUUUAAAAAAUGUCAAGAAAUUUUAAAAAUAUUCUUGACGUUUUUAAAACGUCAAGAAUGUUUUGAAAAUUUCAUUCGUAAAACGACGACGUUUUAUUUAUCACAUUUUCCCUUUUCUAAAACCAAUCUGUCGCGCGUUUUUUCAGAAAAUCUCAAACUCUCCCUCGUUUGUUCGUCGUUCUCCCUUCGCGCUAUCACUGUUCAUCAUUCUCCUUCGUGCCUCCGUUCACCAUUGUUCACCGUUCUCCGUUCAUCGUUCACCGUUCACCGUUCACCGUUCAAAACUCGUAAUUACCUUCUCUGUUCGAAAACCCGUGAACACAUUCACCUCUGUACGAAACCCGUAAUCACCUCUAUUUGCCUCCAAAUCCUUUGUAAAAGGUAAUAGUUUCACUUCUUUACUUUGUGAUUAGAACUUGUAAUCUGCAAUUUAAAAUUGGGAUGUGUUUAUUGCCUUUUUUCCCUUUGUGAUUAAAGCUUACAAUCUGUAAUUUCCUUUGUGUUUAUUGCCUUUUUUCCCUUCAUACAAUAAGGCUUAUUAUUUGUGAAUUUCUCACAUUAAUUUACUAGGUUGUGGCAUUGGAAAUUAAUUAGUUUAUGUUUAAAGGUUUAAUUUCUUCUUGUGAUGAACCUAUACACAUCCAUAUGAUUAUUUAAGAAAACCAUUGCUCUUUGAUUUUACUUUAAUUUUUUCUCUGAAUCAAAUAUGUUAAAGUUGAUCAAAGUUGAGGUAUUAUUAUUGGCGAAAGAAGUGCCCACUACUACUUUAACCACAAAAAAGAAAAGGGAAUGGGAAAAAAGAGGGCAUAAAGAAAAUGAAUGAAUGUAGACUUGUUUAGGGAUGAAUUGAGACUUUGGGAAGAGUGAAAUGCUUAGGAAAAAGGAUUGCUUAAAAUAUUUGAAAGAAAUUUGUAGUACGAGUUUUAGGGAUCCUUUGUUGAAAAACUAUCACUUAUCUGAUUUUCUAAGUAAGAGAAGGCUUGUAGAAAAGUUAAAUGUAGACUUGUAGACUUGUAGGAAGUUCCAAUUGAAGAGACGAAGAAGAACAUAGUAAAAUGCUCACAUAGAUUACAGAGAAAACAAAAGAAUUCAACUGGGUUGGUAGGUGCUUUUCUUGUUCCGUAGGCUGGCUGUAACCUUGGUUUUUAAGAAUAUCUUGCCCUCUUGCUGAGUAGGCUGACUGUAACCUUGGUUUUUUUCUUUUAAUCUAGAUAAGUUCUUCGUAGUAAUUACAAGUCUUAUCUCUCUUUGGAUUCUACUAAAAAACUUUGUUUCUUUACUUGCUUAUUGGAUACUUCAUAGUCCAGGUAAAGAACACCUUUAUUACAUUGUUUAAAUUUCUUAAACACUUAAAUUUACAUGUUCCUCAAGUGCCUACAACAACUGUCUGAUUUUUCAAGUGCCUAAGUUGAAAUGUCUGGUCUUAACUUUUCUUCUCUUACUCAAAUAAGUUCUUCUUUUUUCCCUUUCCACAGUGUUCCAUUGUUGUAGUUUGUUAAAGAUUGGGUGUUUUUAAGUUUGUCCUUCCACUUUAAUUAUCAAUAGUGACAAUAACUUUAUUUCUCAUUAGAUUUACAAUGAUGGAUAAAUCAUGGAUGCACAAGAGUAGAUUGUCUAAAGAUUAUGAGUUGGGUGUGGAAAACUUCAUCAAAUUUGGAUUUUCUAAUACAACUAGCUCCUAUAUCCGUUGUCCUUGUUUGAAAUGUGGGAAUUGUGAAAAACAUAGUAGAAAGGGUGUUAGAGAUCACUUGUAUGUUAAUGGUAUUGAUGAAAGUUAUACAAUUUGGUUUUGGCAUGGGGAAGAACUUCCUAACUCAUCCUAAUUUUAUGAUGAAUCUUCAAAGUUUGACAUCCAUACAUGUGAAGAUGAUGAUGUUGGAAGUGUAAAAGAAAUGAUUGAAGUUGCUCAUGAGGAAUAUUCAAAAGACCCAACUGGAUUUGAGAAGUUGCUUAUUGAUGCUGAAAAACCAUUGUAUGAAGGAUGCAAAAAGUACACAAAGUUGUCUACUCUAGUCAAAUUGUAUAAUUUAAAAGUUAGGUAUGGAUGGAGUGAUACUAGUUUUUCAGAAUUACUUGAAACUUUGAAGGAAAUUCUGCCUACUACCAAUGAGCUCCCGAAUUCAUUGUAUGAAGCAAAGAAAACAUUAGGUGCAUUAGGAAUGGAAUACGAAAAGAUUCAUGCAUGCCCGAAUAAUUGUUGUCUCUAUAGAAAAGAAUUUGCUAAUGCAAUUGAAUGUCCUGAAUGUGGUCAAUCAAGGUGGAAAAACGUCAAGGAUACAAAUGAAAGGAGAAAGCAAAUUCCCUCUAAAGUGAUAUGGUACUUUCCAAUCAUUCCACGAUUUAAAAGGCUAUUCAGAAGCAUUGAAUGUGCUGAAAACUUGACUUGGCAUUCUACUGAAAGAAUUAAUGAUGGUAAGUUACGACAUCCAGCAGACUCUCCAGCAUGGAAGUUAGUAGACAUGAAAUGGCCAGACUUCGGUUCUGAACCCAGAAAUCUUCGUUUAGCAUUGUCAGCCGAUGGAGUAAAUCCUCAUGGUGACAUGAGUUCUAAAUACAGUUGUUGGCCGGUAGUGAUGGUUAUUUACAAUCUUCCACCAUGGUUGUGUAUGAAAAGAAAGUACAUGAUGCUAUAAUGCUAAUUUCAGGACCAAAACAACCAGGGGAUGACAUAGGCAUAUACUUAGCACCACUAAUUGAAGAUUUAAAACUUUUAUGGAAAAGUGGUGUUGAAUGUUAUGAUGCUUAUCAAGAAGAACCAUUCAACUUAAGGUCAGUUUUGUUGUGGACAAUCAAUGAUUUUCCUGCAUAUGGUAACCUUAGUGGAUGUUGUGUGAAAGGGUAUAAAGCAUGCCCAAUUUGUGGAGAUAAUACAAAUUCUAUAAGGUUAAAGUAUGGGAAGAAAAUGGCAUACCUUGGACAUCGUAGAUUUUUGGCACGAAAUCAUCCGUAUCGACGACAAAAGAAGUCAUUCAAUGGUAAAAAAGAACUUGAUACAAUUCCAGAGCCACUUUCUGGGGAGGAUGUGUAUUUAAAAUUGAAAGAUCUUGAAUUUUCUAGAGGGAAGAAGAACCAUAAGAAACGAUUGAUGAACAGAAGUGACAAAAUUUGUUGGAAUAGAUUAUCUUUUUUUUGAGUUGCCAUACUGGAAGGAUCUUCAUGUUAGACAUUGUUUAGAUGUGAUGCACAUUGAAAAAAAUGUUUGCAUGAAUAUCUUAGGUACACUUCUUGAUAUUCUUGGGAAAAGUAAGGAUGGAUUGAAUGCUAGACGCGAUUUAGUUGAUCUAAAACUUCGACCAGAGCUUGCCUCUAUCAGAAGUGAAAAGAAAAUAUUCAUUCCGCCCGCGUGUUAUACUCUUACAAAGGAUGAAAAACGAUGUGUUUUGAAGACUUUGUCUGAAAUAAAGGUUCCUGAAGGUUACUCUUCCAAUAUUAGAAACCUUGUGUCAAUGACAGAUUUAAAACUUAAUAGUUUAAAAUCUCAUGAUUGUCAUGUGCUCAUACAACAGUUGUUUCCCAUUGCGAUAAGAUCAGUGCUACCGAAACAUGUUCGUUAUGCUAUAACUAGGUUGUGCGUCUUUUUCAAUUCUGUAUGCAACAAGGUAUUAGACGUACAACAACUAGACAAGUUGGAAGAAGAUAUUGUGGUAACAUUGUGUUUGUUUGAAAAGUAUUUUCCCCCUUCAUUCUUCACAAUCAUGAUUCAUCUCACAGUACACAUAGUUAGAGAAGUCAAACUUUGUGGCCCUAUAUAUCUUCGAUGGAUGUAUCCCUUUGAAAGAUUCAUGAAGGUCAUUAAAAACUCUGUGAGGAAUAGAUAUCGUCCAGAAGGUUGUAUUGCUGAAAGUUAUUUAAUAGAAGAAGCUGUUGAAUUUUGUACUGAUUUCUUAUCUGGAGUAGAUCCCAUUGGACUUGGGACUCGCAAGUCACAAGACCAUUUAGAUACUUCAAACAUUGGUAGACCAUUGUCCAUGGGAGUUCCUUUCAAACCUCAACAAGAACUUCUACAUCAAGCUCAUCAAUAUGUUUUGGAAAAUACAGUCGAUGUCCAACCAUAUACAGAGUAAGUUUUUCUUGCUUUCUUGAUUGUUUUAUUGACUUUUAUAUACUUAAUCUAACUAUAUUACAAUGUUUGAAUUGAUGACUACAAAGAAAACAUAUGAAGGCUUUGCAACUACAAUAUCGAAAUAAGUCUAGAAAUCAAAAAUGGCUUCAAGAGGAACAUAAUCGAACUUUUAUACAUUGGCUACGGGAAGAGGAAUAGUGCUGAACAUAGUAAUUUAGUUACACAUGUUAUGUGUCCAAUUUUAAAUAAGAAUUAUCAUGUUAGGUAUCAACUGAGCUUGAAGUUGGAAAUGCUGGAGUUUCAGAUAACUUAUGAUGGAUUGCAUGACCCUCAUCCUUUUGUUAUUAGAUAUAGUGGUUAUGCAAUAAAUGAAUGUCGCUAUCACAUACAAUCUUGUGAUAAAGAACGAAGUGUACAAAACAGUGGAGUUAGCUUAGUUGCAAAAACAAUGCAAGUGUCUAGUUCUAAAGAUAAAAAUCUGGUCAUCGGCGAUAUAUCAUUUUAUGGAGUCAUACAAGAGAUAUGGGAACUGAAUUAUAAUAUGUUUAACGUUCCUAUGUUUAAAUGUGAUUGGGUUCAAAACAAUGGCGGUGUUCGGAUUGAUGAACUUGGUUAUGUUUUAGUUGAUUUGAAUAGAGUAGGACACAAGUCAGACUCCUUCAUACUAGCAAGUCAAGCAAAACAAGUUUUUUAUGUUGAGGAUCCAAGCGAUGUUAGAUGACCAGUUGUGCUUACUCGAUCAGUUGUGCUUACUCCACCACAAAGAGACUUUGAAGAUAGAUAUAACAACAAUGAACUUGGUGAUACAAUACUACAGUGUGAAGGAAUACCCAAUGGUAUGCCAGAUGUUGACUUAAAUAAUGACUUGGAUGACAACAUCUUAACAUACGUACGAGCAGAUUGUGAAGGCACAUGGAUACCUACAUAAUAUUAUAAGGUUUUGUUUUACUGUUCUCAAACUAAUAGUACCAUUCGUUUAUUAUGCUCAUUCAUCUCAAUUAAUUGAUCAGUUUUUAAUUUUGUUUAAAACUUGUAUACUAUGCUAAUUGUUUCUUCAUUUUGAUUGGCAGCCUUUGAUUCAUACAUCACAUGGACAACUUUAGUGAUGAAGAAGCUGGUGUUGAUGAGUUGAAACCAACAUUUGGAAUUGAGGAUGAUGAACAUCUUGGUACUGAAAAUGAAACCCCAAAGCAGAUAUGUAGACCACGAGGACCAACUAUUAUGUUCGAUGUCACUCGCAUUAGAAGUUUGGGAGAGAAGAAGGUGGUGAUGUACAAUGAAGACGGAGUACCCAUUGGUGAGAAUGGAGCAAAGUUCAAGUCUUUCAUAGGAUCAGCGAUACAUUAUCAUGUCCCGAUCACAUAUUCAUCGUGGAAAAGUGUGCCUGUAGAGCUGAAAGAUAAAAUCUUCAGUACGGUCGAGGUAUAUAUAUAAUUUCAAUGUGCUAAUAUUGAUAAUGUUCCUGAUGUAUACUUUAUUAAUCACUUUUAAAUAUUUAGGCCGCAUUCGUCAUUGAUCCAAGAUCUAGGAAAAAUAUUAUCCAAACUGCAGGCAUUUCGUUUCGUCAGUUUAAGUGUUGGCUAACAACAAAAUAUAUUAUGCCACAUAAGGAUGAACCACAACUCCUACAAGUUCCACCAGAAAAGUAUUCAUUCAUUGAUCAACAUCAUUGGGCAGAAUUUGUAAGGUCUAGAUUGUGUGAAACUUUUCAGGUAUGUUACUUUCUCACUAACAAAUAUAUUUGUAAGGUUUAGAUUGUGUGUUACUUUCUCACUAACAAUAUUUUUGGAAAAUAGGAAAAAAGACUUCUGCAACAAGAUAGACGAUCUAAGAACAAGUAUAACCAUAGGAUUUCGAGGAAGGGUUAUGCCAAUCUUAUUCGAGGAAAUGGUAAGAACUAAUUUAUUAAGUUUAUCAAACUUUAUCGAAGGUUGUUCUAAUUUUAUUAUGGAAUUGGAAUGUAGAAAAAGGAAGGUUCAAAUCAACCGGAGUCGGAUCGAGCCAUCAUGUGGAAGAAGGCUCGAGUUAACAAAAAAGAGGAGUAUGAGAACGACGACGUUCAACAAGUUGUCCAGAAAAUUGUAAGACUUUUUGUAUAUUGAACAUUUGAACUAGAUUGGUUUUGUUUACACAUUUCUAUAACUUAGAUUGGUUUUUGUUUUAGGAUGAGAUUUCAAUGAAUAUGUCUUCAUCGUCUAAAAAAGGACACUCUUCUAACGAUGUGUUAACCCAAGCAUUGGGUACAAAAGAGCAUCACGUUCGUGUUCGUGGGGUCGGUGGGUAUGUUACUUCUACCAAUUACUUUCAUUCUGUAAAAAAGACAUCUAAACGUGAGGAUGAGAGAUAUACUUUGAGAAAUAAAGAACUUCGAAGGCGUGUAAGCGAAUUAGAAGCACAUAUCCACUCAAACUUGUCUAGACCAUUAUCUGGACAUGGUAGCUGUUCGAAGCCAAAUAUCUUAGAAGAGAGUGACUCGAUGAAAAUAAUCAAAGGGAAGAGUAAGUUGAUGGAUAAAAUCGAAGGGAAAGAGGUGGAGGAGAUCAAUAUAAAUGACGACAAAGUAGAGUUGGACAUCUUUAAGGUAUGUGAUCGAUCAUCUAAUAAACUCAAAUUCUUAAUAUUCAUAUUGUAUUGAAAGUGAAUGUUUUUGUUGAAUUAGGAGAGAGCCUUAAUAAAAAUGCCUAAGGAAAGAGAGGUUGUCUGUGAAUCGACGUCAAUUUUGCCAAUAGGAAUGAAGUUGAUUCUCAGAUACGCUGAGAAGAUAAUGGAGAAAGAUUCUAGUAUCAAUAUUCCACUACUUGUUGACAUUUUUUGUAUUAGUCGAAAGACUUCUGUUCUCCGAGAGGACAUCAUUGAUCUUUGUAACAUGAAUUAGGUCAAAACAUUUACAUUGGUGGCCUAUAUGACGUAAGUCAAUUUCAUUUCUUUAGAUCUAAAUUUAUGUAUCUCGUUUACAAGUUUAUAAUAUUUUGUAGGUACUUGUAUUCAUCUGUUCUUGGUUCGAAGGAAAAUAUACAGUAUGUCUUUGUAGAUCCAUCCCUCACCUCUGCCGCACACUCGCAAGAAUCUCGAGUUCGAAACUUAUGCAGUAGAUUGAUGGUCUCAAAGAUUAACGAGAUAGUUCUUGCUCCUUUUAAUCCUAGGUAAGUCAAGUUAUUUUAUUACUUGCAUUGCAAAAAACUAGUACUAAUAGUUUGUAUAAUUAGGGGUCGUUGGGCACUGCUGGCCAUAAAUGUGUAUGAUGAUACAGUAUUCUACCUCGACUCACUAAGGACAACAUCGAAGUCAACUAUAAGAUACGUCACCGACACGUAAGUUAAUCUAGUAUUUCAUUUAGUGUUGAUUCUUAUAUGCAUGUACAACAAUAUUUAAACUAUUUGUUCAAUCUUAUCUUGUCAAAACAGAGCAAUAGCGAUGUUUCAGUCACAAAAGAACAUUAAAAAAGUAGAAAACAAACUUUAUGGCGAACAGUAAAGGCAAGUAUCAACUUUUAAAGUCAUUAUAUUUUUGUAGACUACUAGCAAUUAGGAUUACUUUGUUAUUCAAAUUUGUUGCUUUUAUAUAGUGUCCACUACAAGUCGGGAGUACUGAGUGUGGAUACUACGUGAUGAGGUAUAUGAGAGAAAUUGUGACUAGGGGAAGCAUUGUCAUAUCCGAUGCGGUAUGUUAUAUAUCAAAUUAUUGGUUUUGUGAGUUAAUUGGUUUAUUUGUAUAGUCAGUUAAUUCAUUUAAUUUAUUUUGCAUGUUUAUAGAUUGAUACACGAAGAUCAUACUCAUAGGCAGAACUAGACGAGGUGCGAGUUGAGUUAGUUGACUUUUUGGGUUCUUACAUAUGAUUAUGAUCGGUGAUUCUGAAGUAGGAAAUUUUUUGUUGUGUCGCUUCUUUAUGAUCUGAAACUUUAUGUAUAGAAACUUUAGCCGAUAAUUCUUUUGAAUUGUUCAUAUGAAGGAAGGGGGGGGGGGGGGGGUUCAUUGUAUACUUUUGAUUAUUGUUAUAGCUAGCAUGUUUUGUGACUUUCUAAGUUGAUUUGGAUUCAUGGCAAUGUAAUGGAAUAUGAAAUCUAAUGUAAAGACUAUUUCAUUAUGUAUAUGUAAAGUCUUGGAAUUGAAUAUAUAUGGUGAAUGGUUUUAUUUAUAUAUGUAUGAGAUUUGAAACUAUAUUUGAUUAACAUCAAAUAUCUAUGAAACUGUUGCUGGACAAUUACAGGACAAUCAGGAUAUAUUUUUUUCCAUUACAGCAUAAUUCAAUUACAAUUUCUUUUUUAAAAAAAAAUUAAAAAAUGCUUGACAGUUUUAAAAUGUCAUAAACAAUUGCAUGCUUGACGGUUUUAAAAUGUCAUGAACAAUUGCAUUUUUUACGGUUUUAAAAUGUCAUCAACAUUAAAAUUCUUGACGGGUUUAAAAUGUCAUAAACCAGUUCAUUCUUGACGGCUUUAAAAUGUCAUAAACAAUACCAGUCUUGACGGUUCUAAAACGUCAUGAACAAAAGUAUAUUUGACGUUUAUAAAACGUCAACGUUCACUAUUCUUGACGUUUAAUCAACCGUCAAGAACUUUGCCUUUCUUGACGCUGGCUUCAACGACGUUUUUAAAACCGUCAAGAGAGCCGUCUCUUGACAGUUUAAAAACGUCAAGAGAGCCUGUUUUUGUAGUAGUGAUCAUAUAACUUUCAAUUUCACUAUUGUAUGUAACAAUCAUGCCAUCUAUUGUUAGUGUGAACAUAUAAAAGGUCAUCUAGUAAUCUAUCUUGAAUUUAAUAUUUUACAAAGCUUCUUAACACUUAAAUGUUGUAGGAUUAAGACUAACAUGGGUAUUUAGUAAAAUUAGUCGAUAUGUACGUAAGCUGACUUGGACACUCUUUCUACAUUCUUUUAUAAAAAGAAGAAUGAAAAAUACAACAAAUAAUUACAAAAUUAUCAUAUAAAUAUCAAAAUUUAUAUUUGUUAUAUUUUAUAAAUAUUUUAGUUCAUUUUUCUACAUUUGAAAGGUUAAUUUUCAUAAAUAUAAAAAAUAUCAAAAUAUUUAAGGUCCAUAUAACUAAAUGAAAGCCUCAUGAAAUCGGUUUUUUUUUAAAUAUGUUCUAGGUUUUUCCUUGCGGCUUUUGAAUUUCGCAUGGCUUCGAUUUCUUCUUUCUUCCUUUCCAUUUCCUUCAUAGCAACAAUCACCUUCUCUUUUUCAUCUUCAAAUCUUCUUUUAUAUUGUUUUGAAAUCACGAUCAUUGUUCUACAAUUAUUAUUAUUAUUUUUAUUAUAUUUAUAGUAUUAUUACCUUUGUUUUCAAUCAAAUGAAUCAAUCAUUAAUCUUAUGUUACUUUUUUCAAUGUGUUCUAGAUAGAGAUGAACUACAUGAUCGUUUACCAUAUAGUUUUUCAAAAUCAUCAUUUAUCAUGAACUAUAGGAUCGUAAAUCACAUGAACUACACGAUCGUGUAUUAGGAACUACACAUGAUCGUGUAUAAUCUACACGAUCGUUUACUAAGGCUUUUUCAAAACUAUAGUUUAUCAUGAGCUAUGCGAUCGUGUAUCAUUUUCUACAUCAUCGCGUAUAUCAUUUCCUACACAAUCGCUAUGAUGAUCGUUUCAAAGAAGAAUUACACGGGAGCUAAUGGUCGAUUAAUCAUAUGUUGAUUGGGACAUUUUUUGUAGUUUCCAUUUUGAGUUUGUUGGCUUUUUUCGUUUUCAAAGUUGUUCUAUAUAUAUAAAUAUUUUGCUAGUUUGUUGUAUUUUUUUUUCAAAAAAGCCUAUUUGAAAAUUUCCCGAAUGUUUAUUUGUUAUAAAUUUUUUAGAGAUAACUGUGAAAAUGACACAAUAAUAGAAUAUAAUUUGAAAAAUAGCAAAUUCUAAAAAUAAUUUGAUUUUUAGCAAAAUCGCAUGAGGUAGAUAUUUUUUUUUUUACAAUUUUUCAACCGAUUUUAUAAUAAUUUUAUUUGUUAUAAAUCGCUUGAUAGUUUGAAACUCAUUUUUUCCAGUUACAGUAUAUUUGUGCAGCGUAAAAUAAUGAAAUAUAACAUAGAAUUACGAUUACGGUGUGUUUGCAUAUCAUUCAAUUUUAUAAUAAUAUUAAAUAGAUAUUUAUGUUUCGGAUUGAUCUCAUUUAACCAUUAUAUGCUAGAUUCAUGUCUUCAAUUUAUAACAGAUUAUCAGAUUUGUACACUUCAAAUCAAAUGCUUAAUAAAUUAUUUUUAAUAAUAUCUAUUUAUUUCACACUAUUUAAUUCACACCAUAAAAUCAAAUCAUUGAUAAUAUUAUAGAAUAACAUGUUAUUUAUCUUAUAAAUACAUAAAUUUUCAUAUAAUGAUUCAUUAUAUAAUUUAUUCAUUGUAGGUUUCUUAAGGUUUGGUUACUUCUUACAAAUUCACAAUUUUUCACAUUUAUCCUUAAUUGUUUUCAGAUUAUAUAUAUUGCAAUAAAUAUUUAUUUUAUCAUUUGAUUUUAAAAGUUUAGUUGGAAGAUCUCCAAAAUUUGAAUUUAAAAUUAUAACGUUCCCUAAAUUUAUGCAUUUGAUAUAAUAACAACUUCAUAUUAAGAGUGCAUUCUCCCUAUAAAUAUGAAUGUAACAAAUAUUUCAUAAACAGAUUGACCAUAUUAAUAAUAAUGAAUUAACAUUAUUUAACGGAAUAAAUGUCAAUAUAACCAUAUGUAUGGAUGAUAAAAUUUUCAUUAAACUAAUGAUAUAGGGGGAGUAAAAUUCUUCUAUGGAACUAUCGUUAAAUAAGAUAUAUUUUCCAUAGAUAUUAUUUACUAUUAUUUAAAAGUUUGAUUUAAAACUACCAAAACAGUAAAAAAUAUUAUUCAAAUGUCAAUAUUCCAAAAAAUCCGUGAGAAAAAUAUGAUUUUUAUCUAAAAUUAUUUAAUCGUACCAUCUAUCCUACGUACAUAGUUUUUUAAUCAGACUUUUAUUUUGAGGUAAACAGUAUUCGAAUGAAUUUAAUUUCAGUUCGGUGAAUAAUUUCACAUUUAUCGUACACAUGUUUUGGAAUUCUUUCACGACAGCUGUCGACUUUAUUGUUCCUCUGUAUUUAAAUUCGUUUAUACUUAUCCUCUACCAUUUCUUCUAAUGGAAAUGCAAUGUGUGAAGACUCUUUUUUAUGGUAGAUGGAUGAAAUUUUCCCUAUAUAUUGACUAUCAUGUGGUAGAUGUAUUCGUUUCAUGCUCAUUUUCAUUUCAAGUAUUCUUAAAAUGCAUUCAAGAUAGACUUUUUUCAUCUUUAGAUCUUUCUAUGUGUCAUAUUACUCUUUAUUGGGAUGGAUGCAUAGUUCAAACCUGAUUUGGAUUGUUGAAGACAAAGGCGUUUAUUGACUUAUGUUGAUUAUGUUGAAAUUCCCUAACAAUGCUUUUGUUGUGGUUGUUGAUUAUGCACUUGCUGGGUCGGUAAAAAUUACACUGUGUUUGAACAAUGAACUAAAUACACAACAACCUACACACAAUGAAUCAAUUUUUUUUAUCCGUUUAUACCAUUUAUGUAGGAUAAUACGUGUUUUAUAGAUAUAGUGUAUUCACAUGUAAUAAUGAGAUCAAAUAUCACAUAUAGUGUAUUUGCAAACUACAGUCAAUUUUGGAAAAUAUUAACUAUAUUUUCGGGACUAACAAGAUUUUUUCAAUAUCCCCUAAAUAUAUGCCUAUAAUUCACAAUAAAUUUUUGGAUUUAUAGUAUUUAAAUCAAAUUAAUUAACAUUUAUUUAUUUAAUUCAUAAAAGAUGUUUAAUAAUGAUUUUCCUAAAAAAUUGCUAAAAGAUUUUCAACCGUUACUUAUUCAUUAGAUUUAAUAAUAUUUUGAAUUCAAAUAUUAUGAAAUCUAAUUUAUGAAAGAAUGACAAUCACUAAUUUAAUAUUUUUCGUAUGAUUUAUAUUUCAAAUUAUUUUAAAAAAAUUAUUAGAUAAUAAAAAUAGUACGUAUAGUUGAUAUAAAAAAUGGUUAUGAGAAUUUCAACUAUUUCCGAGUCAUUAUAUUACAUCCCUACAAUCGUGCUAAUUAUGAUUAUACACUUAUUUUGGUUGAUUUUUAUUAAAAAAAUUAAUUUAUUGUGCAUCUUAUAUCGGAUAAUUAUUUUUUCACCUUGUGUUUUUUAAUUACGUUAAUAUUCAUAGUUAUUCGUGUUUAUAUCUUUUUAUGUACGAUAAUACGUGUUUUACAGAUACGGUAUAUUUGCAUGAUACAAACAAUGAGACAAAAUAUCAUACAGUCACAGAUACAGUCUAUUUGCAAACUGCAAUCAAUUUUGAAAAAUAUUAACUAAUUUAUGAUAUUUUUGGGAUUGGCAAGAUUUUCCCAAUAUCUCUUACCUAUAAUUUGUAACAAAAUUUCAGAUUUUUAGUAUUUAAAUAAAAUUAAUUAACAUUUAUUUAUUUAAUUCAUAAGACGUAUGUUUAAUAAAUAUUUUAGGGAAUUAAUUAAUAUUUAUUUAUUUAUUUUAUAUUUAAUAAAUAUUUUCCCUAAAAAAUUGGGGACUUUCAACCAUUCCUCAAUCUAAUCCCUAAAAUAAUGAAAAUCACUAAUUUGAAUUUAAAUUUUUUGUAUUUUAAACUAUUUAUUAUAUUUUAUUAUAUACAAUAUUUUAAAAUUUGUUAUAUUUUAAACAAUUUAUUAAAUAAUACAUAAUAUAUAUUUUUAAUAAAAAUUUGAAUUUAAAUUUGAAUAUAUUUUUAAUAACAAUUUGAAUUUGAAUUUGAAUAUAUUUUUAAUAACAAUUUGAAUUUGAAUUUUAUAUAUUUUUAAUAAUAAUUUGAAUUUAAAUUUUAUAAUUUAAUUAUGUCUCAAUGACAUUUUUGCAAUUAUUUGAAUCUUCAUCUUUCAGGUUUUAUUGGAGAAAAGAAAAGAAGAAAUUGAGAGAGGGAGCAGCCGACCAAAGACAAACACAAUAUGAGAGACAAAUUUUUUCUUACAAACAAGAGAGAAGAAGAGCUCAAAUGAAUCUCGAACUUGAAGAACUCACCAAUUUGAGUGGAAGAGCUCAAAUGAAUCUCGAAUGUAUGAAGAACUAGAAGAACUCACCAAUUUGAGUGGACGAACUCACCGAUGCGUAUCUUGCUAAGAUGUAUAUAAAUUUUGAAUUAUAUAAUAUUAACAAUGCUCCCAUUUUGAAUUCUUUGAUGAUGAAUUGAUGGUUUCAAAUAGUUUCCAAACUUUCUUUAGGGUUUUGAAUGAAAGAAGGAAGUAAGUGGUCGAAAUCCAAGAAAAAAAAUGAUCACUUGUAGUUUCUAAAUUUUGAGCUUUCCAUCAACUUUCCUAAUCUCUAUGUUUUUUUAUGAAAAUUUUUAUGUAGCAUAUAUGUUAUUUCAAUUACAAUGUAUUCAAGGUUAUGUGAACAAUUGUAUUUUACACUUACAAUGCAUUUGUGGAUUGUUUCCUAUAUUUAUUUUUCUAAUUUUUAUGUUUUGUUAUUUUAACAAUUAAAAUGUUGUUUUUUGUUAUUUUUCCAAAGUAAAAGUCAUAAUUUGCUAUUCUUUUUGACACCUCAAUUUUUAAAAUGAUUUUAUCUGUUUUAUAAGUAUAAUUUUUGGGCAAUUUUAAAUAUAGCAAAAUGGAUAAUUUUUUUUUUAUAAAAUACAGGUGAUCGAAGUCUAUCAACGUGUACGUGUAUCCGUGUCUAUAAUUUAUAAAUAUUUUAUCAAUUUGGCAUAUACAAUAGUUUCUCUAUAUCUUUUGUUACAAUAAAAAAAAAGGACUCAAAUGUAGAUUUAUAUGUUCUCCUAUCAAUAUUCUAUCCUGGACCCAUCUCUUUUAUUAACCUUUUACUAUAUUAUUAAAAUAUUCUGUAAAGUUUUUAUUUUCAUUACUUCUUGCUUUAGUGAUAAUGAAGAAAUAAAUUUGGUUUACUAAAUUACGAUUUUUCUUGAAAAGUAUGAUUUGAUGCCAAAAUCUAGACAGAUAAGACGCGUGAUAUACGUAUGUGCUUAACGGUGAAUUUUUAUUUGGGUCAAAACAAGAGACCUCAAAAACAAGGAAUCUUAACACGACGUGACAUUUGGUAAAGUGAUAAGAUUUUAACGUUAGAGUAACAGUUUGAACAUAUUUAUGACAUAAUCCAUCUCCAUGCAACCCCUUCCCUUCCCUCAUUUUUUGUUUUGCCCUUCAAUCUCAACUCAUUUCAUCCUCCUGCUCUUUACUUAACUUUGGCAAAACCUUAUAUUAAGUCCCAAAUCCUAUAUCUACAACACUCUCAUCAAUAUUAUUUCUUUCAAUUGUUGUAAUAAUACUCUAAGUUGGUCUUUCAUACAUACUUUAAAACUAUUCUUAAAUUUUGAUUUUUUUGAAAUUUUCAUUCUACUUGAUCUAGUUUUCAUUUUUAGAAAGCUUGUAAUGUAUCGAAAGUUUUGAAAUGUUUCACGAUAAUUUGAACUUUUUUGAAAAUAUUUAAAUAUAUUUUUAAACAAAAAAAGGCAAAGUAUUUCAUUGUUACUUUUCAAAGUUAGCUUUUCCUGUUUAAAAGGCCAAUCAACUUAGCUGUAUUAAUCCAUCAGCCUCUUAGAUUUUAGAUUUUGAAAAUAAAGACUAUUUACCCCCACAUUCAAAAUGUACAAAUAAAAAUAGGGAAUCGAGCAAAAUAAAAGGAGCCUAAUACAUUGGUUUCAAACUGUCCAAUUUACAACAUUUUUAACUUAGGUGUGCUAAUUUCAAUUUCGUUUUAUUCGGGUUAAUCUUCAUAAAUAUAACAAAAUAUCAAAAUAUUUACGGUUUGUGUAACAAAAUAAAAUAGUCCACGAAGCCGGUAGAAAUUUUUCAUAAUUUCUAGAUUUGCUCUUGAGCAAACGAUUCAUCAUCACUUCUCUUCAUUAUUCUUCUUUGUGAUUUAUUCAUCUCUCUUUCAUAUUUUUGAGCUCCUCUUCAUCUCUCUUCCAUAUUUUUGAGCUCCUCUUCAAGAUUUUCUUUCUUCUACUUUUAUUCAUCUUCUUUUGCUUUCCAUUGUGGCAUUUUUGGUAUUUGUCAUUGUAGGUCCGUGGACUUUUUCCUUUUUCAAAAUUGUUCUAUACUAUGUAAAUAUUUUACCGUUUGUUAUAUUUUUUAAAAAUUCCUAGUUGAAAAUGACCUAAACGGUUUAUUUGUUAUAGUUUUUUUUAAAAUGAUUUCAUUUGUUUUAUAAAUAUAUUUGUGGGGCAAUUUUCAAUACAAUAAAAUGUACCACAUAAAGUUCAAAUUUUGAUUUUAAAUUCUCCAAUAUAGAACAUCUUUGAAUUAGGUGUGAAAACUCAAAUUUAGUUUCAUUCAUGUACUUUCUAGUUUGAAAUUGGAAAAACAGUGUGUGUGAUACUAAAGUUUCGAGGAUGAGUGUUCUUGAAAUGGAGUUUAAGAGAAUUUUGGUCAUUUCCAACAUUUUCACAUAGUACUGGUAUAAUAAUAAUAAUAUAAAUGAAGAAGAAAUUAUGAUUGUUUUGCUUGCCAAAAGUAUUAUUGAUGGUAAGGCAUUGCAAUCUAACGACAAUUGUAGAAUCCAAAUGCACUCAAAUUCUUAUUUCAUUUACUGUCUCAUUUAUUCAAUUUUCAUCGGCUUCUAAACUUUUACAUCUAUGCAUCACAUUUUGCAACAUGCCAGCUUGCAACUGUACAUCUAAUCUAGUGCAAACAUGAAAAUACAAAGCACAAAAGUAAUGUUUGUACUAAGGUUUAGAAGGACAAUUAGUUUAGGCAACAACAAAAUAACCCUCAAACUUAGUUCUUUGUACUUCUUACUAUCAUUAUAUUAUAUUACAUUAUGAAGAAGUGUUGGGUUUUACUUUUGUUCUUUAUAUUUGUAAACCUCACUUUUAAUAAUGGUUUCCCUACGCCUCUUCUUCACAACAACAACAAACUUCAACCUCCUUUUGUUGUUGGUACUGUCUUCUGUGAUACUUGCUUCCAACAUCUUUCCAAUUCUCACCAUUUCAUAUCAAGUUCUUUUUUUUCUUCAUAUUUCAACUACUUUUCAUCCAUUUUACACUUCUACAAAAAAUCAUUUUCUUAUAUCAUACAAUAUUGAAUUAAUGGAUGGUUCAAAAUGUUAUCAAGAUAAGAACCCUAAACCUCACCACAAAAACUUAACAUAUUAACAUUAUCAUUGUGAUAGACUUUGACAUCUUCAAAUUUAUCAAUAUAAAAUAUGCUUUAACAAAAUGUACCUUGAAGUCCUUCCAACCGUAUUAAAAAAAACAUAUAAGCCUAACACUUUAACAAAUAUCUAGUGCAUAUUAUGCAUCUCAAUUGAUCACAACAAAAUAAGAUUGAACAUAAAUACCCAUAAGUAAUACCUUUUCAAUGUUGAAUUUUCAUAAAAAUUCAACAAGCAAGGCCACUAUCUCGAGGAUUCUUCAAGCCCUAAGUAUGAAAAAAUGUUCAAUGAUUAAAUCGUAUUCCACUUACAUGACAAUUUGACAAAGCUCAGUUGAUAACUCUCAUAAAGCCCUUAAUCCCCCCCCCCCCCCCCCUAACUUUCAACACUAUUGUUGUGGCCAUGUGGACGAUUAUCUGGUUGGAAAGGAACAACAAGAUCUUUCAGAGUAAGGAAAGAACUACUAUGGAGAUUUUGGAUGAUAUUAAUUCAAGCAAAUGUUGAUAUACUACUAAUAUACCAUACCAAUUAGACAAACACUUUUAAUGAGACUAGAAUUAUACAAAAUAUACUUCAAACCACAAUAAUUGAAUAUGUAUUUUGGUAGGGAGGUAGAAACUACUUACUCUGAACAAAUAACGACAACGUCCUUGAAGUAAGAGAACUUUCGACUAAUCCUCAAUUCAAUCAAUUAUUCAAAAUGCCAUAAGGUAGUCAUAGGAAGAUAAUAUAGUUUCAUACAGUUAAAGGACUAAUUUUUCAACAACAACCACACUUCUUAAUUGAUAACUAUCGAAAUAAGCUCAACUAGCUAAUCACAGAAUAGAAAGGUUAGCUUGAGACACAUAGCAGCCUAGAGGGAGAGGUAAAGGAAGAGUUGAGUCUAAAUCCCACACUAAGAAAGGAAAUUCACCUUCUAACUUUCUCUGCCAAUUGAAAUGAACUAAACAUCUUAAAAGUGAAAAAACAAGAAAAAAAUUAUAUUCUUGAAAUAGAAACUCAAAUUCUCUUUUUCUUAUUCCAUUCCUAGACAUUGAAGUACCAUGAAUAAGAAAUGAGAAUCGUUUUAUAUUUAUUCAAGACAUCAAAUUUUGGUCUCCACAGUAAAACUAUAAUAAGCAACUAAAAUAGAUCACCAAAACAAUUUAGAAGAACAUGUAGAAGAACAUUACUGUGAUAUGAUUUUUGCGAGCCAUUUUAAUUCACCACCAUUUUUUUGUCUUUCCUUUCAAUAUAGAAGAACAUGUUGUAAUUUUUGUUGCUACUAUCCUUAUUGUAAGAAAGGAAGAGAACAUACCUAUAAUUAUCAAUAAUCACUUUCCUAUAUCCUUCAAUCAAAGCGAGACAUAAUUUCAAUCCAAAUAAAAUAAAAGAAUUUUAUGUUACAAAAGAAACUGUAAUGCUUCCAAGACUGCAUGAUCAUAAUAUAGACAAAAAGAAAAAGAGAGUGAAGGUUAGACUUCUUUUUCAAAGAUAAUAAAAAUGGAAAAUAGAAUUCAAUGAUACAUUUAGGUUUAAUAGCAAAUGCUUUACCUCAUAAAUAUCAUACUUCUUUCUGCUUAAGAGGAGUAGGACCAUUAUUGCAUACUGACUUCCAACACCAACAAAAAGAAAUAGAAUUCACAACUAUAACAAAGCCAAAACAAUUGCUAAAAUUGAUGGUUUAUCAGAGCUUCCUAUAAAUCAAGAUAAGUUUAUUAGCAACAUAAAGAGUUUAUUUCUUGUUCAUAGUGAAAACGUUCAUAACUUUUUUUAAUCUUCAAUCAUUAGUAAAUCAAGAGUAACCAAAUUACAACAAUUUAGUAAUGAGUUAGAUAACAAGUACUUGUGUUAAAGUUUAUUUAUAUAGUUUAUUUAUGUUAUAACUAUCAUGCAAUUACGAUAUAACUCAAUAGCAACCAUAAACAAAAGAUCAAUAGAAAAAUCAAAAGUACUCAAAUUUACUUGAGAAAUACAUAGACAAACAAAAAGACCCUACAUGUCAUCAAAGUUUAAAAUCUCACAUUUCAUUUUUCAGUUUCUUUUUCUCAAAGCUUCAGCCCAUAGCCAUGAAAUCUCCCUUGGCCUUGAUUUCCUAAUUCGAAUGAACAAAAAUCAAUUAAAAAUCAACCAAAUGCUUCAUUGAGGCAUUUCAUCAAACAUAUUGUAAGCUACCAAAAUGCUUAAUCACAUAGCCAAACAUAAACAAAAAAAUAUAGAUUCACAUUAGAAAAUUGAUCGUAAACAACAAUAUUGAAUAUGAUGGUCGACAAAACAAACACAUAUCUUCUAUAAAAGCAAAACUAUGAGGGAUGUUUUUCAUAAAAAGAACCAUCAAGAUAUCACAUUGUAGGUAAAAUGAAAACAUUUGAAGUUAAUAUACUGUACAAAUAUAAACAAUAGAAAUAAUGAAACUUUGAUUGAAUACCUUCAUAUUGUGGAUAAAAUGUAAGCAUUUGAAGAGAAAUGAAAAGAAAAUGGGAGUGAAAAGGAAAACUCUAGAAGUUGAAUAUGAAUGAAGAAUGGAGACAGACCACGAUGGGCUUGAUCUCCAGCGAGCUACUACACGUGGUGGUUGAGCUUCACCGAUGAGUUCAGCGGUGCAAGGGGUGUUGGCUAAAGGAGAUAAAGAGGGGGAUUUUGGACGAGUCGUUGACAAAAAGUUGCGUUGUUCCCGACGUGCGUGAGAGAGGAAGAGAGAUGGCUAGCGAAAGGGAGGAAAAAUCAAGAAGGAAGGGUGAUGUGUGGAUCUUCCACAAAGACGAAGAAAAAAAGAAGAAGAAGAAGAAAAAGAGGAGGAGGAGGAGGUAGAGAAAGGGUUUUGGAGAUAUUUUAUAAGUUUUAUUUUAAUAAAUAAAUUAUUUAAUGUUCUUAGAAUUAGGAAAAAAUCUGAUUUAAAAUGAAUUUUAUGUUAAUAAAUUAUUUUUUGAAUCUUUUAUGACACCAAAUAACUGUCACGGAAAGUAAAAUCCAAAAAAUUAUGUUUUUUCCGUCAAAAACGCGAAUUUUUAGCUUUUGUCACAGUGUUUUCUUUCCUCCUUUCAAUUUGGGAUGUAUACAACUGUCAUAGUAGGUAUUUUUUUCUUGUAGUGUAUUGACCAUCAAUGAUUUUUCUGCAUAUGGUGACUGAUAGGAUGGAGUACAAAAGAAUGUCAAAGCGGUCCAUUUACAUAUAUAUUAUUGAAUAUGUAGAUGCAUUUUGAAUUUGACCCCACUAACAUGGUCGUAAGAAAAUACAAGGAAGAAAAGAUUCAAAAUACUUUUAGAGAAUUUAGAGCAGGGUUGCACAAAGAUUACUGUGGAUUUGAUUAUCCUAUUGAAGCUCGUGCCAAUCGACCAGACAAGAUAACGCACGAGGAUUAGGACAUAAUGUGUGAUAGAUGGGAAAUAUAUGCAAACUAUCAACCCAAAAAGUUGUGAAUCGUUAGGUAGUAAUGUGUCAUCUACACGUGAGAAAGAGAAGAAUGAGAUGACAUACCUUAAAGAAGACAAUGAAAAUUUAACCAAUAAACUUGCAAAAUGGAAACAAAGAUGGGUUGACAUAAAAAAAAAAGUUGGAUCUAGGAGAGGAAGAGAAAAAUGAUGCACCUUAAAAAAUUUAAGUAUUUUUCUAAACUAAAAUUAAAAAAAUUAUAUUGUUAAAGCAUGUUUCAAUAUUAUGUUUGUCUAUCCUCCAGUUACAGUAGCCAAUCAUGCAUAUAAUGUCAUUUCAUAAUUAGGUUUUUGGAUGGUUUCUAGAAGUAUCACUUAGGCAUUUAGACACUUAGGCUAUUUGCAUCUUGUUUUAAGCUUAUCGUUUUGAUUAAAAACUAUGACAUUUUUAGGUCUCUAGAUGCUUUGAAAAAUACAUGACAUUUUAAAGUAUAUCACAUUUUUUUAGCUUUUUGGAUGGUUUGUAGACUUAGACACUUUUUAGAUUUAUUGUGGUUGAUUUUGUGUUUCAUAAUCACACUUAGGCAUUUGAAACUUGUUUUGUAGGUCGACUUUGAGAGUUAAUACAUUUUUUAGCACAUUUGUAGUUAGUCUUUAGUUUUAAAGUCGCACCUGGGGUAUGUAAGUGUUGCUUUAAGAGUUAAAAUGUCACCUAAAUACCUUCUAAAACAAGUAUGUUAAGAUUUAGCAUGUUCUUAUUCAUUUUAAUGUACCUUUUUCAGGUUUAUGUAGUUUGAAGGAGCAUAAAAUGACUAUUUUUUUAAGACUUUCGGAUUGAGUUAACCAUUUUGUUUUGUAUUUAAUAUUUUUUUAUUCAUUUUAGAAUGACUAUUUUUUGUUCAUUUUGGUAUGCCAAAAUAAAAUUUAAUAUAUCUCAUAUAUGUACUUUGAUAAACUGAAGAGCUAUGGGUUCUCAUAUUUUGACAAAUUAUUAAAUUAUUGUUUGUCAUAUGUUGGACAAAAAUAUUAAUAGUUAGAAAUAUUUUUCUUCUUAAAUUUUUUGUUGUAAUAUUCGAUAUAUUUUGUUAUAGACAGGAUACAUACUAUGUUUGACAAUUAAUUUAGAAGCAUACAAUAUUAAUAAUAGAUGUGAAAAAAAAAUGAUAUUAAUAAUAGAUGUGAAAAAAAAUUAAAUCAUUUUUACCACACUUUUGUGUGGCUAGAACUAUGUUGCAGUUAGAGAGCUAUAACGUCGUUCUUUGCUUAGGCAAAAAAGAAAUAAAUAUUAUUUAUUGACGCAUCAUUGGUAGCCAAAAAUGUUCUUUUAGCCGACAAAAAUCUUUUCGCGGGUAGAAACAAUUUAUGCCCAUGAAACAAACAUGCUAGAAAGUUUAAUUUUGUCGAUGUGAUGAUAAUCGUGGGUAAAAAUACCUUUUUGCCGAUGUUUUUUUUUUUUUGUGGCCAGAAAAUCUAUUUUUGUCGACGUGAUGAUGGUCGUGGACAAAAGUACAUUUAUGCUUACGUUUUUUUUGUGGCAAAAAAAUCUAUGUUUGCCGACGUGAUGAUGAUUAGGGGCAAAAAUACCUUUUUGCUGUCAUUUUUUUUGUGGCUAGAAAUUUCUUUUAUGCUCACAAUUUUAUUUGGCGUGGGCAAUUUUGCUAAUGCAACGUCAACGAUGUGUGUAAAGGAAAAGAAGAUAGUGCUUCCGCUAUAAACCAUGUCAACACAAAAAAAAAUGUUGGCAAAAACACUGUCCACAUUUUUCUUAAGAAAUACCCACAUUUUUAUGCAUCGACAAAGAUGAAAAUUCUUGUAGUGGGAAUGUAUAAUUGAUAUGUUCUCAUCAUCUAUAAAAAAUACAAGCUCUCUUUAUGAAUAGAAGAAAUUAGUACUUUCACUCAUCUUGUAAGCUCUGACUUCUUUUAUUCUCCAAGAGGUGUAUUACAUUCCAAAUUAUGUAGUAACAUCAUAAGCCUCAGACAAAUGACAGAAAACGGAAACAAAGUGCAAAUGAUAGAAGAUAUCAUGAAAGUGUCUGAUAGGAGUGGAAAGCUUUUGAUGUCGGUGAAGCGAACUCAAAAUCGUUUGUACAAGAUAACUUUGAAGACACUCAAGGAAUUCUGCCUUCUGACAAGCCUAGAAGAUCCAACAUGGUUAUGGCACGUGAGACUUGGCCAUGUAAAUUUUCAUGACUUGAAGCUCAUGGGGGAGAAGAAAUUUGUAGUUGGAGUACCACUAGUGACUCAACCGAACAAGUUAUGUGAAGCAUGCGUGAUUACCAAACAAGCCAUAUUACCUUUCCCCCGUCAAUCAACAUAUAGAGCAGAGAAGCCAUUAGAACUCCUCCAUGGUGAUAUAUGCGGAUCAAUUUCACCAUGUACUCUUGCUGGAAACAAGUAUUUUCUGUUGAUCGUUGACGAUUCCACGAGAUGGAUGUGGCUGUAUAUGUUGGAGGCAAAAAGCAACGCAUUUGAAGCAUUCAAGAAAUUCAAACUCUUAAUGGAGAACAAGACAGAGUACAAGAUCAAAACACUCCGGACGGAUCGAGGUGGUGAGUUCUUAUCUGCAGAGUUCACUCAAUUUUGCCAAAAAAGAGGAAUCGAAUGACACCUCACCGCUCCAUAUUCACCACAACAAAAUGGCAUUGUAGAGCGUCAUAACUGCACCGUAAUGGCGAUGAUGAGAUCACUCCUCAAAAGCAUGCAUGUGCCUGCAAAAUUUUGGGGAGAGGUAGUGAGACACGUGGUUUAUUUGUUAAACCGUCUUCCAAAGAAGGCCCUUGGAGAACGCACAACAUUUGAAGCUUGGAUGGGGAGAAAACCACAUCUUGCACACUUGAGAGUCUUUGGUUGUGUGACAUAUGUAAAGAACACAACCCCUCACCUCAAGAAACUUGACGAUCGAAGCUCACCAAUGGUAUAUUUUGGUGUCGAAGAAGGAUGCUAAGCCCAUCGCUUAUAUGACCCAGGCCGUGGAAAACUACAAAUUAGUAGAGAUGUUCUUUUUCAAGAGAAUCUUGAAUGGCUUGGAACGAAGUUGUUAGUGACGGUAAGGAGAUGACAGAGUUUCAGGUGAUGGACCAAUUUUAUUCUGACGAGUUCGAAAACUUGGAGUAUGCAGAAACCGGGGUUGAAAAUGCCUUACCACAUGCAACUGAGAUACCUGCGAUUGGAGAGACCAGUCCAUCUCCUCCAUCGACGAACACACCGAUCCGUCUAAGAUCUCUUAGUGACAUCUACGCCAACACAGAGGAAGUUGUAGGUGGUGAUGAACAAGAGAAUGAGGUGAUGAUGGUAGUGUCCGAAGAACCGACUUGUUACCAAGAAGCUGUUACAGAGGGUCGCUGGUACGAAGCAAUGGAGAACGAAUUAAAAUCCAUUGAGAAAAACAACACAUGGAGUCUGACCGAGCUUCCACUAGGACACAAACCCAUUGGUCUAAAAUGGGUGUUCAAAUUGAAGAAAGACCCUAAUGGAGAAGUUGUCAAGCACAAAGCAAGAUUGGUUGCUAAAGGCUAUGUACAAAGACAAGGCAUUGACUUUGAAGAAGUUUUUGCACCGGUUGCAAGACUUGACACCAUUCGAGUCAUUCUUGCACUCGCUGCAAACCAAAGUUGGGAGGUACACCAUCUAGAUGUGAAGUCGGCAUUUCUCAAUGGAGAAUUGGAAGAGGAAGUAUAUGUUACUCAACCGGAGGGUUUUGAGGUUUCAAAUGAAAAACACAAGGUGUAUAGAUUGUCAAAGGCUCUCUACGGAUUGAGGCAAACUCCACGAGCUUGGAACAUUCAACUUGAUAGGAGUCUCAAAGAUCUUGGUUUUAGAAAAUGCAUUCCAGAGCAAGCAGUCUACACAAGAAGAGAAGAAGAGGAAUGUGUUCUUGUUGGAGUGUAUGUUGACGAUCUCAUGGUAACAGGAAGUAGCACUGAAAAGAUCAAUAAGUUCAAGCAACAAAUGAUGGCAAAAUUUGAAAUAAGCGACUUAGGCCUUCUCUCUUACUACAUAGGAAUUGAAGUUGAACAACAGAAGAGUCGAAUCCUGCUCAAACAACCAACUUAUGCCAAAAGAAUUUUGUCCCAGUUUGGAAUGGCUGAUUGCAAUGCCACAAAGUACCCGAUGGAACCCAAGGCACAACUUCACAAAGACACGGAAGGAGCACCAAUUGAUGCUACGGAGUACAGAAGCAUCGUUGGUUGUCUUAGAUACUUACUGAACACAAGGCCAGAUCUUUCAUAUGUUGUUGGGAUGGCGAGUAGGUAUAUGGAAAGGCCUACAACCAUGCAUUACAAGGUGGUCAAGCAAAUACUUAGGUAUUUGAGAGGGACGAUUCAUUUUGGGCUCACUUAUACGAAAGGUCCCAGAGAAUUCAAUAUAUUCGGUUACUCUGACAGUGAUUUAACCGGUGAUCUCGACGGGAGGAAAAGCACAAGUGGAAUGACAUUCUACUUAAAUGAAAGCUUGGUUUCAUGGAAUUCGCAAAAGCAAAAGACGGUGACACUCUCAUUUUGCGAAGCCGAGUUCAUUGCAGCCACCUCCGCAACUUGCUAAGCAUUGUGGUUAAGAUGCCUUGUUAGCGAGAUAGUCGGAAUGGAGCCAAGGCCGGUAACAUUAUUUGUGGACAGCAAAUCCGUGAUAGCUCUCAUGAAGAAUCCUGUAUUUCAUGGUCGCAGCAAGCACAUAGAUACACGUUUUCAUUUCAUUCGAGAGUGUCUCGAGAAUGGACAAAUUAUCGUUGAAUUUGUCAACACUGGAGAACAACGAGCCGAUGUUCUGACUAAAGCAUUGACGGGAGUAAAGUUAGCUACUAUGCGUCAACUACUUGGUGUUCGUAACUUAGAAUCAUGUCAGAAUUAGGGGGGUAGUGUGGGCUAUUAAUUUGCCGAAUUAAGUUAUUUUUCUAUUUAUUGUUUUUGGUUAUUUGUUUUUUUAAUUAUGUCCAAAGUUUUAGCAAGCACUAAGUUAGUGGGUUACUAAUUUUUGCUUCUUUUUAGACUAUAAAUAUUAGUCCAUCAAAUUGAAUAAAGGUAAGAUGUUCCAUUUAAUUUUCUCUCCCUCUUGGCAAUAUAUCUUACAAAGUAUUUAUCUUUGCUUUCUUCAAUAAGAGUGCGUGAGAUUUUACAGAUCCUUUGUUGUAAAACCAACAAUAGCAACACACAACAAUUGGUAACCAUGUUUGGGGAUACAACACCCACGUCUUAAGGGUGGUGUGCACAAGAAAAAUAAUCCAUUAAUAUAAUAGAGUUAAGCAAGUACAAUGUUCUACUUAUUUGUACUCAAAGAUUACUUUGACAACCGUAAAGUUAACUCAAUGAACUUCUAGACUCUCCCUUAAGUAAGAGACUUCCUCUCUUUUGAAUAUAGGCUCUCCAUCAAGUAUAUUGCUAUUAGUGGUGAAUGACUUAGACUCCCUUAGUUGUGGGAGACUCCUCCCACUCGAAGUUAUCUUUCCUCUUUCUCCCAUGAACUCCAUUCACUAGUGUAACUUUGAGUGAAACUCCAUUCACUAGUGUAACUUAAAGGCUCCCCUAUGUUAAUGAGAGCAUCUUUCUUAGUUGAGUCGAUUUUAGGCUCCCCUGAAAGAGUACAGUAUGAUUGGAUUCAACCUAUUCUUUAGCAAACCACUCACAAGUACAGUAGUAAAAGAACACAGACGAACGACUGCUUCGAACUCAAACUUUUGUCUAAAAGGUCAGAGGAUAUAACAAGUCAAAAUAUAUGCUGCCACUGUAGCAACAAAUGCAACAAGAGAUAUUAAAUAGCAAAGGGGUGCAAGGAACCAAUUUACAGAAUAAAACAACGCAACUCUAAAAAAGGUAAAUAUGACACCAAAAUCAAAUCGAAAAAUAAUAUAAAUAGGAAAAGAAAUGUCUUGCAAAUUUUACAACUUUCACGUAAACUGCUGAGACAAAAAAUAUUUUGAGACGUAUUUUGGAACCACCAAGAAAAUAGAUCGUCAACAUGGUGGGAACUUAAUCAAAUAUAUUUAGCCAAUUCUUAAGGCAGUAACAGAUAUAUAUAUAAUUAACAUAGUAUCAACACCAUUAGUUAACUCAGUGUUACACAUCUUUUUUUUAGCCACCUUUAGACUUAAAUUCAAACCUCAUUCUUUACUCCAAUCAAAACUUAGCCCAAUUUGUACCUCUGUACUAAGAACCCAUCAAAAUCUCCAGCUAGAUCUGCCAUAUUCCUAUAGGAAGUGUGCCUUGAUUUUUUUUUUUUUUUUGAAUGUGUGAUUCUUUAAAACAGUUUUGCAGUAAUUUGUUCUUUUCCAUUCUUCCUUGUGGGGUUACAAUACUGUGUUCUUUAUUUUUCUUUCAUAAAACUUUUCCUUCUUUAGAAUAUUUUUCGUUGAUCAAAAUAUUCGCUCUAACUUCUCUCUUAAACGCAGCAUGUCUUUGUUCUUUCAUAAAAUUUUCUAUUAUAUUAAAAUAAACUCUAUCUUAAACUUUUAAAUCUUUCCUACAUACCUACACAUGCCAAUAUACCAUGAAGAAGGACGAAUUUAUUAAGGGGCACGUCGGAAGCAAGCCAGCCACGGGCUCUUUCCCUUGCCCCUUUCGCAGGAAUCUUCAACAGGGCAUUAGUUGAGGGAGAAGUAGAGGGCGCACCCUCUCUAUUAGAUUAUUAAUUUUUGUAUUUUAAUAUUAAUUUUGUAAUGUAAUUAGAUUACUAUAUAUAUUAAAUACAUACAUAAUUUUGCUUUUGUUGUAGUGAUUACGUCCCUGCACAACGAUUUGGUUGUGAAUUCAGGUUUGCUAUACAACUAUUUUUAUGAAAUAAUUUUUAUUCCAAAUAUCAAUACGUUUCUUUCUUCAAAUAUUAAAUUUCUUCAUAAAUUGUCACAAAAUACAUUUUAUUCCAAACAUCAAUAAUUUUCUUUUUUCAAAUAGCAAUAAUUUUCUUUCUAAAAAUAUCAAAUUUCUUCCUAAAUUUCAAUAAUUUUCUAAAAAAAAAAGAUAAUUUGAUUUUUCUUCCUAAAACUCAAUUAUUUCCUAUAAAAAAGAUAAUUUAAUUUUCUAAAAGGAAAAUAAUUUUUUAAAAAGAGGAAAAAGAACUCCUCUAAGAUAAAACCCUAACUUAUUUUCUAGCCCUCAUUUGUUAUAUAACCAAUUUUUUUAAGAAAAUGCAACAAAGUCGGUGAUUCAAACUUCCACUCUCACAACAAUAUUGCAUGAGAAAGAUAUUAUUCUUUCUUUUUUCUCUUCUUUUUUUGAUGUAAAUUUUAAAUAUAUAUAUUUACAUUACAAAAAAUCAUGUGAAAAUUGUCAGUCUUUCUUUAUUACUACAAAUGAAGUGAAUGUUAAUUGGAGUAUCAGUGAAACAUCGAGAAAUUUUUUUAAAUAUUUUUUAGUUUGUUUAUUAUAUAGUGUCUGAUAUCCCCUAUAUAAAAUUUUUGGAUCCACCACGAAUUAUGUACUAAACAUAUUUAUUAGCAACAAAAAUCUAUUAUUAAUAACAAAAAUAAAAAUUGUUGAAAAGUUAUAGGUAAAAAAUGGCCUAGUCUAUUAAUAAAUGACUAUAAAUUAAUGGGUGUAUCAAUGGUACACCGAAAAUUUUUAAAAACAUUGGCAUAAUUUCAAACAUGUCACACACUAAUUUUGGCACCUAUGGUACAAUUAUAAUAAAUAAAUAAGUCAUCAAGUAUGCAAAACUACCACCACCCUAUUUCUUUUUUGGUAGUUGAAAAUAUGAAAAACAGUAGUUCCAAUAUAAAGCUAGCCAUGGAAAAAAGAAAGAAAUAUUAUCAUGUUUUUUACACUAAUGUCCAAUUCUCUAUUUUAUUUUUCCUUUUUGUAAUUUUGUAAAUAAAAGAGACUUUCAAAACUACCCAUCAAAAAGUAAAAACGAAAAAAAGGAAAAUAAAAAUAAAAAGAAAUAACCCAAACAUAUAGUUCAAGAAAAGAGAAUAAUGAAUCUACUUUUUUUAUUUGCAACUUGCAUGAGAUAAAGCCAACCCUGUAGUUUUUACCUGCUGGCUAGCACAUAAGAACAACUACGACAGAAAAAUUAAUAAUAAAACCCUAAACAAAUGAAAUGUACUAAAAAGUAUAUAUAUAAUAUAUCUCAAGGCUGCUUUAAAAGGGAGCAAAACAUUUUCAAAACUGUUAAUUGUGGGAGUGUUUUGUAAAGCAAUUCUUUAAACAUGGCUCUUGUUGGGAAGCUUCAGAGUGAAGUAGAAAUAAGCAUACCUCCCCAUAUAUUUUACAAACUCUUUAAAGAACAAAUUGCUAACAUUACAAAUAUUUCUCCAAAGUUAAUCCAAAAAGUUGAACAUCAUGAUGGAGACUGGAGCAAACAUGGUCACGGUUCCAUCAAAGUUUGGAAUUACACUAUCGGUAUGUAAAAUGAUCUCAUGACCACGAUCACUUAAUACCACUUUUCUCUUUUCUGUCUUUGUUUAUUUCCAUGAAUAAUUCAUUUUUACCAUCUCUAAAUUGUUAUUAUUUCCUCUUUCUGUUGUUUUAUGAUUUGUAAG
rnacentral:lncRNA from 1 species